GAAAGAACGUGGCAACACGAGAGCGAUCUUAAAGCAAGGGACGACUCCGCCGCCGUCGACAUACCUCGCCGCAGCCGGCCUUCCCCCUCCCGAUCCAUCUCCAUGGGGAUCCAUGCCGCCGCGCGCACGACGAAGCAGUGGCUGCGGGAGCUAUUUACUCCUCCGUGCGCACGUACGCAUCUCUCUCCCUGGUCCGACCGCAUCUCUCUCCUUCAAGCAUGCAGUUUAACUCUGUUGUAAUUGGUCUGGCGAGGCUGGUAUCAUUGCAGAUGGUGGAUCAGCCUGCCGGCGACGUGAACCUGUGUUUGACAAACUCGCCUUGGACAUCAUACAUCAUAUACAUUCCCUCUUGCCAGUGCGAGAUGCUGCUCGUGCUGCCUGCGUGUGUCGUGGAUUUCUGCAUUCCUGGAGAUGCUAUACCAACCUCACUCUCAACGUGGAAACACUUGGGUUGACUGGCAAGACAUAUAAGGAUGCAGAUAUCUUUCUUAGGGACUCUCGUGUUCUUAUCAACAUAGUUGACAAAAUUCUUAGGAACCACUCCCGCCAUGGGGUGGAGGUUUCCAGGCUUAAUCUUGAGCUCUACUAUUGCAAAAAUAUCGACGCGUCAUACCUGGACAGAUGGCUCCAAAUCACUGCUGUUCGCCCGGGGAUCAAAGAACUUAAGCUUGUGUUGUGUAGAUCCAUGAAGAAAGAGUACAUCUUCCCAUGUUCGGUUUUGUCUAAUGAGGCGGCUGCAAGUUCAAUUAGGUGUCUUGAACUCCAUGUUUGCGCUUUCCGUCCGACAACAACACUUGGCUGCUUGAGUAGAUUGGAAACAUUAUGUUUGUAUUGAGUCAACAUUACUGAUGAGGGAUUAGGGCACUUGCUCUCCAAAUCUUUCGGUUUGGGGAAGAUUGAUAUCAUGAAUUGCAGAAAGAUAAUAUGCUUGAAGAUACCAUGUACGCUGCAGCAACUCAAUGUCCUAACACUUAGCUGGUGUGAGGGGUUGCAGGCGGUAGAGAUCAAUGCUCCCAACCUCUCUACUUUGCACUUUCUUGGGACCCUGGUAGAAAUCUCAGUUGCACAUCCUUCGCAACUUCAGGAUGUGCAUUUGGUAGGUACAUCCCACUUGCUGCCUUAUGCUCGUGCAAAGCUUUCAUGCAUCGCGCCAAAUGUUAAGAGCCUAUCCUUGAUCUCUCUUUGGGAGAAUGUCGAUAUUCCAGUGAUGCCCUCGAAGUUCCCCUACCUCAAGAAGUUGAAAAUUGACAUCCUAAGAUCAUUGCAAGGCUUGUUGUCACUGGUUUCUUUUCUCGAUGCUUCUCCAGCCUUGGAUUCUUUUACCCUACAUGUAGGUCAGGAUGCCUUGAGACCUGAUGAUUUUGUUGUUGGAGGCGAUAAUGCUAAUUACGAGAGGUGGCAACCACAGCGCCGGCAUGAUUGCCUCAGAGAGUGACGAUCACAGGCUUUUGUUCAUCAAAGAAGCUCGUUCAGUUUGUGAUCUAUAUCCUUGAGGGCAGUCCCCAGCUUGAGUGCCUCACACUAGACACAACCCCUGGGCCUCGCUAUAGUACGAAGUGUGGUAUCAUUAGAAAGCACACCUCAAAAAAGAUGGGCAUAUGCUGCCCAAUGAUGACCGAGAGUAAUAUAGCAGAGGCUCACGAAGCUGUUAAGGCUGCGAACACAUACAUUGCAGGGAGAGUUCCCUUGGGUGUUGGAUUGCAGGUCUUGGAGCCAUGUAGUGAAUGCAACAAUCCCAAGCGGUGGUAGAUGUAUGUGGUAUCUAGUGUGGUUUGUCCUAAAGCUAUUCAUUAACAUGUAUACUUAAUUUGUUCAAAGUUCAACCAUGGUCGGCAAGAGGAUUAUUAUUGCCUUUGUGUGUUUUUUUCUUUUGAGAAACUGGCAGCACCACAUCUUUUCCUUAAGAAGAAAUAGAGUCAAGAUGCAGGAGCAGCUUGUUUCUAAACUGGAACACCUCUUUGGUGGCCU